rnacentral:rRNA from 1 species
CAGCCGCCGCGGUAAUACAGAGGGUGCGAGCGUUAAUCGGAUUUACUGGGCGUAAAGCGUGCGUAGGCGGCUUCUUAAGUCGGAUGUGAAAUCCCUGAGCUUAACUUAGAAAUUGCAUUCGAUACUGGGAAGCUAGAGUAUGGGAGAGGAUGGUAGAAUUCCAGGUGUAGCGGUGAAAUGCGUAGAGAUCUGGAGGAAUACCGAUGGCGAAGGCAGCCAUCUGGCCUAAUACUGACGCUGAGGUACGAAAGCAUGGGGAGCAAACAGGAUUAGAGACCCGCGUAGUCCCUGUCUCUUAUAC